AGCAGAACGCAACAAGUUUGAGAUGAAUCUGAUGCUUCUGCAACAAUGAAGGUUCAACUAAAAGUAUCAAAUGUUGCCACUUUUCUGACCUACACGUUUA